ACGUAGGGGGCGAGCGUUGUUCGGAAUUACUGGGCGUAAAGAGCACGUAGGCGGGAACUUAAGUCAGGUGUGAAAGACCCAGGCUCAACCUCGGGGUGGCACUUGAAACUGGGUUUCUUGAGGGCAGGAGAGGAAGGUAGAAUUCCUGGUGUAGCGGUGAAAUGCGUAGAAAUGAGGAGGAAUACCGGUGGCGAAGGCGGCUUUCUGGACUGAUACUGACGCUGAGGUGCGAAAGCGUGGGUAGCAAACAG
rnacentral:rRNA from 1 species